rnacentral:rRNA from 1 species
UGGGGAAUUUUGGACAAUGGGCGAAAGCCUGAUCCAGCAAUGCCGCGUGUGUGAAGAAGGCCUUCGGGUUGUAAAGCACUUUUGUCCGGAAAGAAAUCCUUGGCUCUAAUACAGUCGGGGGAUGACGGUACCGGAAGAAUAAGCACCGGCUAACUACGUGCCAGCAGCCGCGGUAAUACGUAGGGUGCAAGCGUUAAUCGGAAUUACUGGGCGUAAAGCGUGCGCAGGCGGUUUGCUAAGACCGAUGUGAAAUCCCCGGGCUCAACCUGGGAACUGCAUUGGUGACUGGCAGGCUAGAGUAUGGCAGAGGGGGGUAGAAUUCCACGUGUAGCAGUGAAAUGCGUAGAGAUGUGGAGGAAUACCGAUGGCGAAGGCAGCCCCCUGGGCCAAUACUGACGCUCAUGCACGAAAGCGUGGGGAGCAAACAGGAUUAGAUACCCUGGUAGUCCACGCCCUAAAACGAUGUCAACUAGUUGUUGGGGAUUCAUUUCCUUAGUAACGUAGCUAACGCGUGAAGUUGACCGCCUGGGGAGUACGGUCGCAAGAUUAAAACUUAAAUGAAUUGACGAGGUCAUAGCUGUUUCCU